rnacentral:rRNA from 1 species
UGCCAGACUCCUACGGGAGGCAGCAGUGGGGAAUAUUGCACAAUGGGGGAAACCCUGAUGCAGCAACGCCGCGUGAGUGAAGAAGUAUUUCGAUAUGUAAAGCUCUAUCAGCAGGGAAGAAGAUGACGGUACCUGAUUAAGAAGCCCCGGCUAACUACGUGCCAGCAGCCGCGGUAAUACGUAGGGGGCAAGCGUUAUCCGGAUUUACUGGGUGUAAAGGGAGCGUAGACGGCAUAGCAAGUCUGAAGUGAAAGCCCAAGGCUCAACCAUGGGACUGCUUUGGAAACUGUUAAGCUAAAGUGCUGGAGAGGUAAGCGGAAUUCCUAGUGUAGCGGUGAAAUGCGUAGAUAUUAGGAAGAACACCAGUGGCGAAGGCGGCUUUCUGGACUGAAACUGACGCUGAGGCACGAAAGCGUGGGGAGCGAACAGGAUUAGAUACCCUGGUAA